AUGUCUUCUCAGGCUUUUGGCUAAGAUCAAGUGUAGUAUCUGUUAGUAUGAGUUUAAUAUCUGAUACAUCCUCUAACCAAGGGCAACACAUUAAAUAGAUUUUUGGAGCAGGUGGAUGGAAGAGGAGCUUUCUCCAUCAACCUGGACUCCCAGAAUGGGGCACCCCUUUGGAGGGGAAAAAUAA